rnacentral:lncRNA from 1 species
CCUGGGGGUCUUAUAAAAAGGCAGAUUCUGGGGUGAGGCCUGAGUUUCUACAUUUCUUCCAAGAAGAUCCCAGGUGAUGCUGAUGCUGCUGGUCCAUGGACCACACUUUGAGUAGCAAGACGCUAGAUGACUUCUUCCCCAACUUUCUCAUUCCAUAGGUGAAACUGGAUCCUAGAAAAGCAAAGUGAUUUACCCAAGCUCACACAACAGUUGGGUAGUACACCCUAUAUAAGAAUUCAUGGUAUCAUGACUAUCAGUUUGAUGACAAUAUCACUUGCUACAUCUCUCAUAUGGCUUCUGCUGCUAAAAGCCAUUUGAGGAUGACAUUUUGUGGUUCACCUGUCUUAGAAGGCGUUCUGGGCUCAGUAUUUUGGCCACAUUAUCUCAUUCACUUUCACAAUUUCACCUCAAACAUAGGCAACACAGUCAUCCCUUGGUAUACCCAGGGGAUUGGUUCUAGAAAUUCGUGCAUGCUCAAGCCCGCCAUCAGCCCUGCAGAACUUGCAUACAGGAAAAGUCAGCCUUUUGGUAUCCUGUGAAUACUGAAUUUUCAAGCUGUGCUUGGUUGAAAAAAAUUCAUGUGUAAGCAGACCCUUGCAAUUCAAAUCCACAUUGUUCAGGGGUCAACUGUGGUUGUUAGGAAAAUUAGAUUUGUUGCAUUAACUAAUUUCAUGGCUUUAAUCUCCAUCUAGAAUUCCCCUUGCAGGUUUGUGCAUUGUGCACAGAGAGGAAG